UAUUGCUGCUGCCAUUGUCAUUGUGAAAUGCAAAUGUCAAUGUCAAUGUCAAAGGCUCAAAUACCACCAAUUUUUUUGGUGUUUUUCAACUUAUUAAUCUUCAUUUCCUCAACGGAAGCAGCACCAAUAUCUUUUGAUUGGGUUCAACAAGAAUUCCUUAAGGCUCACAAUGAUUAAAGAAGCAGUGUUGGUGUUCCUCCUUUGCAAUAGGAUGCUAAUUUAGCCUCUUUUGCACUUGAUUGGGCUACUCAACGUAAGCAGGAUUGUAAGUACAGGCAACAUUCAACCGGGCCUUAUGGAGAGAACAUCUUCUGGCAGCUAUACAAAGAGACACCUACAACUGGUGUAGUGCAAAAAUGAUUCUCAGAAAAGAAGUUUUUCGAUGAGGUAAAUAAUGUUUGCAAAUGCCAACCUGAAAAGGAAGGAUGUGAAUGUGGGCAUUACUUGAAUGUGGUUUGGAAAA